GAAAUGCGAUAAUUAAUGUGAAUUGCAGAAUUCAGUGAAUCAUCGAGUCUUUGAACGCACAUUGCGCCCCCUGGUAUUCCGGGGGGCAUGCCUGUCCGAGCGUCAUUGCUGCCCUCAAGCACGGCUUGUGUGUUGGGCUUCCGUCCCUGGCAACGGGGACGGGCCCAAAAGGCAGUGGCGGCACCAUGUCUGGUCCUCGAGCGUAUGGGGCUUUGUCACCCGCUCCCGUAGGUCCAGCUGGCAGCUAGCCUCGCAACCAAUCUUUUUAACCAGGUUGACCUCGGAUCAGGUAGGGAUAUCCGCUGAACUUAAGC
rnacentral:misc_RNA from 1 species